AAAGUGGUUAUUCUGCUACAGAAAGCUGCCUCAAACUGCUCUUCUGGUUAGCCUCUCUGGAAACAGGCUCAGUGGGAGACUUUAAUCACCUAAUCAAACAAGUAAUAGAAAUGAUUAAUGAUUCCUAACCUGUUCAAACCCAGCAUCUCUCGGGGUCUGCUUCAUCACCUGAACUUACAAGAUCUACAUCUGCCAGCUUGGCUCAGUCAACGUCAUCAGCCUACCUAACCUGAACAAUUUGGAGUGAUGAUGCAGAAUUGUCUGUGUAAGAAGUUGCAUCUAUUUUGUGGUCUCUCCUGAUUAGCUUGCCCUGGCCUUAAUUUUCAUUCUGCCGGAGAAAAACAAGAUUGCUCUCCUGAGCUUUCUCGACUCCAGCAAAUUGAGCUGAUCCCCCUACUCGCAGGAAGGACCUUGUCAGAGGCCACUGCUUGAAUUUUCCCAGAAUUAGAAUAGUUUUUUGUGAAACAACAGCAACAACACUCGCUCAGCCAGAUGGAAAGUGAAGAGACACAUCAUUUGGAUACCUGUCUGCAUCUCUGUUGAAGAAACUAGCACGUGUACAGUUCUCAAGGGGGCAGAGGAGGAACAAAGCCUUGCCAUCAAGUCGGUUCCAGCAGACAGAAAUCAAUAUUUCCUGCAGAAUUCUUCUAGCGCUAUCAGGAAAGUGACAAUACAGAUAUCAUCAGUUUAAAUGAGAAGAAAGGGGUGAUAGUAGAACAUGGAAGAAGUGAAUAUAUUAAGACAAAGUUCAAAGUAACAUAACCAGCCAGCCAGACCUAGAGAAAGCCAUGCUGCAUGGAAACCUGUGUCCUAGGAUAUUGCUUAGGCUUCACAGGCAGCAAAGAGAGACGCACAACUAUCCAGCCUUUCUCUGCAACUGAAGUGAAUUGAUCUCCAAGCAUGCUAAUACAUCCCCUAAAUUUUAUGAGAAAGUUUUCCAGUACUUUCAACAAAUGCCAACAACAUACAAGACCUGGAGGCUUAGUAGCUAGGUGUGAUAUGGACAUUGCAUCUUAAUUUUAACAUUUGAAUAAGCUUAUAUCUCUGGCUAGUCAGCCACCUGUCAAGACUUUUUAAAAAAAAAAAAUAGCCCUCAGGAAAGCCUGGAAAAUGAAGUAUACAGACCUACAAACACAGAAUAAAUUAAGCAAAGACUUUUACCAAGCCCAUUUGCUGUAAGCACAGCAGCAGUAAUUUCUCUUCAGAUGCACUAUUAGCCCUUCAUGCUCUCAGUUGCUUUUCUGUCG
ensembl:lncRNA